rnacentral:rRNA from 1 species
UACGUAGGUGGCAAGCGUUGUCCGGAAUUAUUGGGCGUAAAGCGCGCGCAGGCGGUCCUUUAAGUCUGAUGUGAAAGCCCACGGCUCAACCGUGGAGGGUCAUUGGAAACUGGGGGACUUGAGUGCAGAAGAGGAAAGCGGAAUUCCACGUGUAGCGGUGAAAUGCGUAGAGAUGUGGAGGAACACCAGUGGCGAAGGCGGCUUUCUGGUCUGUAACUGACGCUGAGGCGCGAAGCGUGGGGAGCAAACAGG